rnacentral:rRNA from 1 species
UUGACCUCGGAUCAGGUAGGGAUACCCGCUGAACUUAAGCAUAUCAAUAAGCGGAGGAAAAGAAACCAACCGGGAUUGCCCUAGUAACGGCGAGUGAAGCGGCAAGAGCUCAAAUUUGAAAGCUGGCUCCUUCGGGGUCCGCAUUGUAAUUUGCAGAGGAUGCUUCGGGAGCGGUCCCCAUCUAAGUGCCCUGGAACGGGCCGUCAUAGAGGGUGAGAAUCCCGUCUGGGAUGGGGUGCCCGCGCCCGUGUGAAGCUCCUUCGACGAGUCGAGUUGUUUGGGAAUGCAGCUCUAA